rnacentral:rRNA from 2 species
UGAGGAAUAUUGGUCAAUGGGCGAGAGCCUGAACCAGCCAAGUAGCGUGCAGGAUGACGGCCCUAUGGGUUGUAAACUGCUUUUAUGUGGGGAUAAAGUGCGUGACGUGUCAUGCAUUGCAGGUACCACAUGAAUAAGGACCGGCUAAUUCCGUGCCAGCAGCCGCGGUAAUACGGAAGGUCCGGGCGUUAUCCGGAUUUAUUGGGUUUAAAGGGAGCGUAGGCUGUCUAUUAAGCGUGUUGUGAAAUUUACCGGCUCAACCGGUGGCUUGCAGCGCGAACUGGUCGACUUGAGUAUGCAGGAAGUAGGCGGAAUUCAUGGUGUAGCGGUGAAAUGCUUAGAUACCAUGACGAACUCCGAUUGCGCAGGCAGCUUACUGUAGCAUAACUGACGCUGAUGCUCGAAAGUGCGGGUAUCAAACAGG